rnacentral:rRNA from 1 species
GACGAACGCUGGCGGCGUGCUUAACACAUGCAAGUCGAACGGAAAGGCCUGCUUUCCCUUGUGGAUUGCGGGUACUCGAGUGGCGAACGGGUGAGUAACACGUGAGUGAUCUGCCCCCAACUUGGGUAUAAGCCUGGGAAACUGGGUCUAAUUCCCGAUAGGACUGCAGGGUGGUGCCUGUGGUGGAAAACGAUUUUCUAGUGGUUGGGGAUGAGCUCGCGGCCUAUCAGCUUGUUGGUGGGGUAAUGGCCUACCAAGGCGGCGACGGGUAGCCGGCCUGAGAGGGUGGACGGCCACAUUGGGACUGAGAUACGGCCCAGACGCCUACGGGAGGCAGCAGUGGGGAAUAUUGGACCAUGGGCGGAAGCCUGAUGCAGCGACGCAGCGUGGGGGAUGACGGCCUUCGGGUUGUAAACUCCUUUCGACCGCGAGGAAGCCACCUGGUUGGAAGGGUGGUGACGGUAGUGGUAGAAGAAGCACCGGCUAACUACGUG